rnacentral:misc_RNA from 1 species
CAGACGGAAAGUGUACUUUGCAAACUCCUUUACCCCCUUAAUAGAAUUAUUGACGCAGAAAUAAUGUGGUGCACAUUCAUCAUAUUGGUUGGCUAAAGAGUACAACCAUCUAUAGGCUAAGGUUGGUCGAGAAAAACAAUUGGAGGUUGCUCUCCAGUGCCUCAGAGGAAAGAAUGUCAAUAUUCAACACAAAGCAGCAUAUAUUAGAGAUUAUACAAAGACUUUUCAAGGACAUUCAGAAGCUAGACUUUUAGACUUGUUCAAGGGAAGAUAUGCUCUUGCUCUCAUUGCUGUUGCCGAGCUAUUGCUAUUGCAACAAUUUGGAGGGAACAAUGCAAUUGCAUUUUAUGCCAGCUCCUUUUGAAAAAAUCUGAUUUUUCAAGUAGUGUUGGGCUAAUUUCGAAGGCCAUUGUCCGGAUUCCAGCUACUGCUGUUUCUGUACUAUUAAUAGAUAGAGCUGGAAGGCAGCCACAUCUCUUGGUUAGAACACCACAAAAUUUGAUUUCAAGUUUGCUAUGCAGCUGAUAAAACAAUAGGUGUUGAGCCUACUUCAAAUGUUUGCAGGCUUCUGCCUCUCGCAUGUGCUUAAGCUGCUUCCUUAUAAGACUAGCAUUUUGCUUGCAGGUUUGACAA